rnacentral:snRNA from 1 species
GGAUGUGAAGGCGAUCUGGCUGCGACAUGUCACCCCAUUGAUCGCCAGAGUUGAUUAGGCUAAUCUGGCUGGCUAGGCGGUUGUCCCCUUCCUCCCUCACUGUUCCAUGUGCGUCCCCCCCAAAGCUGCAUGCUCGGUCGAAGAGGACGACCAUCCCCAAUAGAGGAGGACCGUUUUUUCAGUCAAGGGUAUACGAGUAGCUGCUCCCCUGCUAGAACCUCCAAACAAGUUCUCAAGAUCACUUAGCUAUUAAGUGUCAGGGCUGGCCCUCAAACUGGGCAUCCUGGCUCCAGAACUGUAGUCCUCUUGUAAUU